GACGAACGCUGGCGGCGUGCUUAACACAUGCAAGUCGAGCGAACAGAUGAGGCGCUUGCGCCUCUGACGUUAGCGGCGGACGGGUGAGUAACACGUGGAUAACCUCCCUAUAAGACUGGGAUAACUUCGGGAAACCGGCGCUAACCCCGGAUAAUAUCUUGAACCGCAUGGUUCAUUAGUGAAAGUCGGUUUUUCUGUCACUUAUAGAUGGAUCCGCGCUGCAUUAGCUAGUUGGUAAGGUAACGGCUUACCAAGGCAACGAUGCGUAGCCGACCGCAGAGGGUGGUCGGCCGCCUGGGAGGGGAGACGCGCUCCAGACACCUGAGAGACGGCGCAGUCGCGAAUCUUACGCAAUGGUGGGGAGAAUGACAGAGCAGAGGGGCGUGAGUGAUGACAAUGCUCGGAUCGGAAAGACCGGUUUUUAGGGGGAAACAAAUGUCUAAUUGACUGUGGCGGUAUUGACGGUACCUGGUCAAGAAGCCACGGCUAACUACGUG
rnacentral:rRNA from 1 species